rnacentral:tRNA from 1 species
AGCUUUAUAGUUUAAAUAAAAUAUUAAAUUGCAAAUUUAAAGAUAAAUUAUUAAUUUUAAAGUUU